AUUGCAGAAGGACUCCAUUCAGGAUGUGCACCUUUUAGCAUUGCUGCAAUUCCAGCUACAUGAGGGGCAGCCAUGGAUGUGCCUGAUUUAAGUUCGUAAUCACUGGAUAGUUCUAAGUUCGUCUGAAUACUUUGUGAAAAGAGAUUAGGUGGAAAUGCUGCAAGAAUCAGUACCCCUGGUGCCAUAAUAUCUGGCUUUGCGAUUCCCAAGUAGCUUCUGGAGGGCCCUCGUGCUGAGCUUCCAGCAAGAACUGGGGCAGGCCUACCAUCCACAUAAGUUUCUUGGAACGUGAUUGUAGCCGUUGGAGAAACACUGUUUUUUACGUAAUUGAUGAUUUGUUUCCCUUCCUUUUUGUCAACCACAACGCCUGGGUAGGGAAAUGAAGAAGACCUGAAAACUCCUGGAUCCUCAGAAAUAAAGAUGCCUGCUUUGAGUCUUGCUCCAAUGACAUGAGAAAUUUGACUAGAGAAACCCCAACCCUCUUCAUCUGCAUUGUAAUCACAGAUGAUGAUGGUGCGUUCGGGAUCAGAAACUUGUGAUAACAAUUCAACUGAAUCACAAGCGGCCAGAGUCUUGUUGUAAAUCACCGGAGAAUCCCUGACAAAGGCUCUUGCAGGAAAUAAGCUCCAUCCCCUAAUUCUCAACCCAUUUCCCAAAGUCAAAGUUCCUGAAAAUCUUCUGUCAGUGUGGCCUGCUGCCACACACAAGAUCCAUUGCUUAAACUUCCCACGCUUGGACCUUGAUUUCCAGCUGAUGUUGAAACUAGCACUCCCUUCAUCAUAGCUCCAAAAGAAGCGAUUGAUAUAGCAUCUUCAUAUAACGGAAUGAAACGGUAACCAAAAGAAAUGGAUAUCAUGUCAACACCGUCUGCAACAGAUUGGUCCAUAGCAGCAAUUAAAUCUGAUGUAAAAGUUCCUUCAUUGAAGCUAGACUUGUACACAGCUAUCCUAGCUCGUGGAGCAGUCCCUCUUGCUGUUCCUGGUGCAUAUCCAAAAUGGGAAAUACCUUUCGCAAAGUUCCCAGCAGCAAUGGAAGCGCAAUGUGUGCCGUGACCAUCAGUAUCCCUGGCAGAAUUCAUGGAAAUGUUCACAGUGGGAUCAUUCGCCAAAAUACCCUUUGGGGAUUUCUGGCAAACCAUCAUCUUGGAAACUCAUGGAUUCGGGUCAGAUUCCACCGUCAAGAACAGCCACGAUCACAUCUUGGCCUAAACCAGAAGCUGGCCAUAGCCCAGAUGAAGGAUUGAGCUUGAGGAAAUCAGAAGUGUAAGUAGUGUGAGGUUCCACAGUUCUGUCUUUGUAUGCUGAAAUGAAACCUGGUGACUUUUUCAAAGCUUUCAGUUCAUCUUUGGACAAAACAGCACUGAAUCCAUGAAACACAUUGUCAUAGGAAUAAACAAGUUUUGGAGCAGAGUGGAAUCUGCCUACUGAUGAAGGAAUUACAGAGGCUUUGAUGGAAUCAAUAGUGGAAGAAUGCCAAUGAUGGUGAUCAGCAAAUACAUUAGGCAUUAAGGACUUGUCAAGGUGGACAAUGUAAGUGGAUCUUUGUGCUAUAGCUAAGAAGAGAUGAGCAGAAAGGAACCAUGAAAGCAAGAUCAGAUAUGGAGAACAUGGAAACCAAAUAUUUCUAGAUUCCAUGUUCAUCACUUACUACACACUAGUGUUCUUAAGACACCAAAUAUUCAUUCAAUGCAAACUUGAGAAGCAGGAAUACACCUUUGACGAUUUGGAUUGAUCAAAGUUGUCAGGGGUAAAAAAAAUCGGCAAUGUUGGGAAUUUUUUUGGCACAAAGUAGCUCCUACUACAUACAUUAUUUAUUCCCAUAUCUUUUUGAUAGGAAAAAUACUUUUCAUUCAGUAUUUAUACAUAAUUCCCCUUAGUCUUGUAUAGUGUACUUGCAGCUCAAGAAUCUGAUGGCCUUAGUCUUCGUUACCCCAGACCUCGAUUAUGGGAGACGUUACUAUAGGACUCCUAACAGAGUGGUUACCCUUCUCUUCAACCCAAGUGAUCGACCCAAAGUUCGUACUCUGAUCACUAUCACCUAUAUAUCGAAUUGUCAAACUAUAACUUUGCUUAUCAUUUUUCCCCUUGAACACCAGAGUUCGUGGAGACACUGAAACUGUGGAAUUCUUAGGAGUUUCAAUCUUCACAUUAUAAGUUGUUCCACCUCUACCAACAUUUGUAAGGGUCCUCCUGAAUUUCUGCUCCAACCAGGUGAAGUUCCCCUCCAGGCUAUAUGGGUUCAAUGCAAUGAAUGAUGGAUAGUUGAGAUCAGCUGAUGGAUUUGAGCAGUUAUCGUAAUUGGCUGAUGAUCUUGCAAAUGUUUUGAAUUGCUCUUCUGUGAAAUUCAUAGAGCAUAUAAGAUUUAUGUAAUCUUGUGGAGUGGCAUCAUAUACAAGCCUGGGAUCAAGAGCUCUGUUUGGGUCAACAUGCCCUGCACCCAUAUCUAGGGGUGUGGCUACCCAAUUAUUAUCGUCUUUAAUAGGUUUUUUAGUACUAUCCAAAUGGUUUGCUGUGGUCAUCAUGGCGGAGCGAAUUGCAGAAGGACUCCAUUCAGGAUGUGCACCUUUUAGCAUUGCUGCAAUUCCAGCUACAUGAGGGGCAGCCAUGGAUGUGCCUGAUUUAAGUUCGUAAUCACUGGAUAGUUCUAAGUUCGUCUGAAUACUUUGUGAAAAGAGAUUAGGUGGAAAUGCUGCAAGAAUCAGUACCCCUGGUGCCAUAAUAUCUGGCUUUGCGAUUCCCAAGUAGCUUCUGGAGGGCCCUCGUGCUGAGCUUCCAGCAAGAACUGGGGCAGGCCUACCAUCCACAUAAGUUUCUUGGAACGUGAUUGUAGCCGUUGGAGAAACACUGUUUUUUACGUAAUUGAUGAUUUGUUUCCCUUCCUUUUUGUCAACCACAACGCCUGGGUAGGGAAAUGAAGAAGA
rnacentral:lncRNA from 1 species